rnacentral:rRNA from 1 species
UACGUAGGGAGCGAGCGUUGUCCGGAUUUAUUGGGCGUAAAGAGCGCGUAGGCGGCUCGGUAAGCCGGAUGUGAAACCUCCAAGCUCAACUUGGAGCGGCCAUUCGGAACUGCUGUGGCUAGAGUCUGGUAGGGGAACACGGAAUUCCUGGUGUAGCGGUGAAAUGCGCAGAUAUCAGGAGGAACACCGGUGGCGAAGGCGGAUCUCUGGGCCAUUACUGACGCUGGAGGAGCGAAAGCGUGGGGAGCGAACAGG